rnacentral:rRNA from 1 species
AGAGUUUGAUCAUGGCUCAGAUUGAACGCUGGCGGCAGGCCUAACACAUGCAAGUCGAGCGGUAGCACAGAGAGCUUGCUCUCGGGUGACGAGCGGCGGACGGGUGAGUAAUGUCUGGGAAACUGCCUGAUGGAGGGGGAUAACUACUGGAAACGGUAGCUAAUACCGCAUAACGUCGCAAGACCAAAGUGGGGGACCUUCGGGCCUCAUGCCAUCAGAUGUGCCCAGAUGGGAUUAGCUAGUAGGUGGGGUAACGGCUCACCUAGGCGACGAUCCCUAGCUGGUCUGAGAGGAUGACCAGCCACACUGGAACUGAGACACGGUCCAGACUCCUACGGGAGGCAGCAGUGGGGAAUAUUGCACAAUGGGCGCAAGCCUGAUGCAGCCAUGCCGCGUGUGUGAAGAAGGCCUUCGGGUUGUAAAGCACUUUCAGCGGGGAGGAAGGCGAUAAGGUUAAUAACCUCAGCGAUUGACGUUACCCGCAGAAGAAGCACCGGCUAACUCCGUGCCAGCAGCCGCGGUAAUACGGAGGGUGCAAGCGUUAAUCGGAAUUACUGGGCGUAAAGCGCACGCAGGCGGUCUGUCAAGUCGGAUGUGAAAUCCCCGGGCUCAACCUGGGAACUGCAUUCGAAACUGGCAGGCUAGAGUCUUGUAGAGGGGGGUAGAAUUCCAGGUGUAGCGGUGAAAUGCGUAGAGAUCUGGAGGAAUACCGGUGGCGAAGGCGGCCCCCUGGACAAAGACUGACGCUCAGGUGCGAAAGCGUGGGGAGCAAACAGGAUUAGAUACCCUGGUAGUCCACGCCGUAAACGAUGUCGAUUUGGAGGUUGUGCCCUUGAGGCGUGGCUUCCGGAGCUAACGCGUUAAAUCGACCGCCUGGGGAGUACGGCCGCAAGGUUAAAACUCAAAUGAAUUGACGGGGGCCCGCACAAGCGGUGGAGCAUGUGGUUUAAUUCGAUGCAACGCGAAGAACCUUACCUGGUCUUGACAUCCACAGAACUUAGCAGAGAUGCUUUGGUGCCUUCGGGAACUGUGAGACAGGUGCUGCAUGGCUGUCGUCAGCUCGUGUUGUGAAAUGUUGGGUUAAGUCCCGCAACGAGCGCAACCCUUAUCCUUUGUUGCCAGCGGUCCGGCCGGGAACUCAAAGGAGACUGCCAGUGAUAAACUGGAGGAAGGUGGGGAUGACGUCAAGUCAUCAUGGCCCUUACGACCAGGGCUACACACGUGCUACAAUGGCAUAUACAAAGAGAAGCGACCUCGCGAGAGCAAGCGGACCUCAUAAAGUAUGUCGUAGUCCGGAUUGGAGUCUGCAACUCGACUCCAUGAAGUCGGAAUCGCUAGUAAUCGUAGAUCAGAAUGCUACGGUGAAUACGUUCCCGGGCCUUGUACACACCGCCCGUCACACCAUGGGAGUGGGUUGCAAAAGAAGUAGGUAGCUUAACCUUCGGGAGGGCGCUUACCACUUUGUGAUUCAUGACUGGGGUGAAGUCGUAACAAGGUAACCGUAGGGGAACCUGCGGUUGGAUCACCU